AACAACACAGAGUAACAGUAGCUAAAUUCCCCAACCACUCAUCGAAGUUAGCUAGCCAAAACUUUAUUGCUAGCUAGGUUAUCAAAGUGCCGAAUUCAUAGCUAAGAACUUAGGUUUGUUGUUGUAGAAUAAAACUGGACUUUUUAUUUGCCGUCGAAGUAUCGAAAAGGGGAGUAAAACCGUUGUUCGAACUGGACCGCCUAAAGUUUCUCAUAGUCCCAAUCCCAGCACUGAAUAAUUUCAGAGGGCUGCUGAGGAGAGCUGUGCUGGCACUGCCAAGCCAAGCUCAAACUGUAGCCUGACGGACAACACUUUCUGAGGAUCUCUCUGUCAUUCCUGGGGCUACGUGUCAGCUUAAGAGGUCAAUCAAAGGCGAGCACAAGGGGAAUUUUAGGACUAGUUCUCCUGGACCAUCAGAUGUUUUCCACUUUUGUUUUUACCAACAUUUUUGGGAUUUAAACUGGGAUCGUCCCACUUAUAAAUCUUCAAUGGAUUCCGUUGGCUCUUUGGUUAGCAUUGUUGAUGAGGACCAGUCCUAUCAUGUCCGCUACAGGUAGGCAUGAACCUACUCA